rnacentral:rRNA from 1 species
UACAGAGGUCUCAAGCGUUGUUCGGAUUCAUUGGGCGUAAAGGGUGCGUAGGCGGCGCGGUAAGUCGGAUGUGAAAUCUCCACGCUCAACGUGGAGGGGCCAUUCGAAACUGCCGUGACUCGAGUCCGGUAGGGGAGUGUGGAAUUCCCGGUGUAGCGGUGAAAUGCGCAGAUAUCGGGAGGAACACCAGUAGCGAAGGCGGCACUCUGGGCCGGUACUGACGCUGAGGAGCGAAAGCGUGGGGAGCAAACAGG